AUGUCGGAGGUGAAGCCGGAGGAGAUCAGCCACUCGGCCAUGGAGCAGCUCCAGGGGUUCGAGUACUGCAUCGACUCCAACCCUCCAUGGGGGGAGGCCAUCAUACUGGGCUUUCAGCACUACAUCCUGGCGCUGGGCACGGCCGUCAUGAUCCCGGCGGUGCUGGUACCCAUGAUGGGCGGGAGCGACGGAGACAGGGUGAGGGUGGUGCAGACGCUGCUCUUCGUCACCGGCAUCAACACGCUGCUGCAGUCGCUCUUCGGGACGCGGCUGCCCACGGUCAUAGGCGGCUCCUACGCCUUCGUCAUCCCGGUGAUGGCCAUCGUGCAGGACUCGUCGCUCGCGGCCAUACCCGACGACCACGAGCAGAGGUUCCUCCAGAGCAUGAGGGCCAUACAGGGGGCACUCAUAGUGUCCUCCAGCAUUCAGAUCAUCCUUGGUUACAGCCAGCUCUGGGGUAUUUUCUCCAGAUUCUUCAGUCCACUGGGAAUGGCGCCGGUGGUUGCGCUUCUCGGUUUUGGUCUCUUCGAAAGAGGAUUCCCUGUGGUUGGGAGAUGCGUUGAGGUUGGCCUGCCAAUGUUAAUCCUCUUUGUUGUGCUUUCCCAGUAUCUGAAGAAUGUACAGAUAAGAGAGAUCCCCAUACUGGAACGAUUCUCCCUGUUCAUUUGUAUCGCAUUGGUCUGGGCUUAUGCUCAAAUCCUCACUUCUGGUGGCGCGUAUAAUCAUAGCACCGAGGUUACUCAGAUCAACUGCCGCACUGACCGUGCCAAUCUGAUCUCUUCUGCCCCAUGGAUUAAGAUCCCAUAUCCCCUGCAGUGGGGGGCACCAACCUUCAGUGCCGGCCAAUCGUUCGGUAUGGUGUCUGCGGUUUUGGUCUCGCUAAUAGAGUCCACAGCUUCUUACAGCGCUGCAGCUCGGCUUGCAAGUGCAACUCCACCUCCAGCCCACAUCCUGAGCAGAGGCAUCGGGUGGCAGGGAAUUGGCAUCCUCCUUUGUGGCCUCUUUGGAACAGGGACCGGCUCCACUGUCUCAGUGGAGAACGUGGGGUUGCUAGGAUCAACCAGGAUCGGGAGCCGACGCGUUAUACAAAUCUGUGCUGGCUUCAUGAUCUUCUUCUCCAUGCUGGGGAAAUUUGGAGCGCUGUUCGCCUCCAUCCCGUUCACCAUCUUUGCCGCGGUGUACUGCGUCCUGUUCGGACUAGUUGCCGCGGUGGGGCUCUCCUUCUUGCAGUUCACCAACAUGAACUCCAUGCGCAACCUGUUCAUCGUCGGCGUGUCCAUCUUCCUUGGCUUGUCCGUGCCGGAGUACUUCUUCCGCUACAGCAUGGCUGCCCAGCGUGGUCCUGCGCACACUAAAGCUGGAUGGUUCAACGACUACAUCAACACCAUCUUCUCGUCGCCGCCGACGGUGGGGCUGAUGGUGGCCGUGUUCCUGGACAACACGCUGGAGGUGAAGGACGCCGGCAGGGACCGCGGGAUGCCGUGGUGGGUGCCCUUCCGCUCCUUCAAGGGGGACAGCCGGAACGAGGAGUUCUACAGCCUGCCCUUCAACCUCAACCGCUUCUUCCCUCCCUCGUAA
rnacentral:rRNA from 1 species